rnacentral:rRNA from 1 species
UACAGAGGUCUCAAGCGUUGUUCGGAUUCAUUGGGCGUAAAGGGUGCGUAGGUGGCGGGGCAAGUCUGGUGUGAAAUCCCGGGGCUCAACCCUGGAACUGCACUGGAUACUGCUUUGCUAGAGUACUGGAGAGGGAACUGGAAUUUACGGUGUAGCAGUGAAAUGCGUAGAUAUCGUAAGGAAGACCAGUGGCGAAGGCGAGUUCCUGGACAGUUACUGACGCUGAGGCACGAAGGCCAGGGGAGCAAACGGG